UCCUCACCGUCAGGACUGCUG
rnacentral:misc_RNA from 1 species